rnacentral:rRNA from 1 species
AAUGGGCGAAAGCCUGACGGAGCAAUACCGCGUGAGGGAUGAAGGUUCGUGGAUUGUAAACCUCUUUUUUCAGGGAAGAUCAAAUGACGGUACCUGAAGAAUAAGCAUCGGCUAACUCCGUGCCAGCAGCCGCGGUAAGACGGAGGAUGCAAGCGUUAUCCGGAAUUAUUGGGCGUAAAGCGUACGUAGGUGGCUUAUCAAGUCUGUUGUCAAAGCGCGAGGCUCAACCUCGUAAAGGCAGUGGAAACUGGUAAGCUAGAGUAUGGUAGGGGCAGGAGGAAUUCCCAGUGUAGCGGUGAAAUGCGUAGAUAUUGGGAAGAACACCAGCGGCGAAAGCGUCCUGCCAAGCCAGAACUGACACUGAUGGACGAAAGCUAGGGGAGCGAAUGGGAUUAG